GACGAACCGUGCGAACGUUAUUCGGAAUCACUGGGCUUAAAGCGCGUGUAGGCGGGUCGGCACGUCCGUCGCUGAAAUCCCCCGGCUCAACCGGGGAAGGGGCGCGGAUACGACCGUCCUGGAGGGGGGUAGGGGGCGCUGGAACUUCCGGUGGAGCGGUGAAAUGCGUUGAGAUCGGAAGGAACGCCCGUGGCGAAAGCGAGCGCCUGGACCCCGCCUGACGCUGAGACGCGAAAGCUAGGGGAGCGAACGGG
rnacentral:rRNA from 1 species